rnacentral:rRNA from 1 species
AACGAACGCUGGCGGCGUGGAUAAGACAUGCAAGUCGAACGGGACAAGUAGCAAUAUUUGUCUAGUGGCGAACGGGUGCGUAACACGUGGGCAACAUGCCUGGAAGAGCGGGAUAGCCCGGGGAAACUCGGAUUAAUACCGCAUGUGACAACGGGGCGGAUUCGCCCUGUUUUCAAAGGUGGGGACCGCAAGGCCUGCCGCUUCCAGAUUGGACCGCGUCCUAUCAGAUAGUUGGCGGGGUAACGGCCCACCAAGGCGACGACGGGUAGCUGGUCUGAGAGGACGACCAGCCACACUGGAACUGAGACACGGUCCAGACACCUACGGGUGACAGCAGUCGAGAAUCUUUCACAAUGGGGGAAACCCUGAUGGAGCGACGCCGCGUGGAGGAUGACGGUCUUCGGAUUGUAAACUCCUGUCAUGAAAGAACAAGCGGAGCGGGUGAACAGCCCGCCGAGUUGAUAGUAUUUCAAGAGGAAGGGACGGCUAACUUCGUGCCAGCCGCCGCCGUAAAAC